GACGAACGCUGGCGGCGUGCUUAACACAUGCAAGUGGAGCGACGAACCAGGGCUUGCCCUGGGGCAGAGCCGCGAACGGGUGAGUAACACGUGGGUAACCUACCCCGAUGACCGGGACAACCCGAGGAAACUCGGGCUAAUACCGGAUGUUCUCGUUUCUCGUAAGGGAACCGAGUAAAGAUAGCUUCGGCCUUCGCAUCGGGACGGGCCCGCGGCCCAUUAGCUUGUUGGUGGGGUAACGGCCUACCAAGGCGACGAUGGGUAGCUGGUCUGAGAGGACGAUCAGCCACACUGGGACUGAGACACGGCCCAGACUCCUACGGGAGGCAGCAGUGGGGAAUCUUGCGCAAUGGGCGAAAGCCUGACGCAGCAACGCCGCGUGGGGGAAGAAGGCCUUCGGGUUGUAAACCCCUUUCAGUUGGGACGAAGCUUCCAGAGUUAAUAGCUUUGUGGAGUGACGGUACCUUCAGAAGAAGCCCCGGCUAACUACGUGCCAGCAGCCGCCGAGUAAAC
rnacentral:rRNA from 1 species